CGAAAUCCGUCGUCGGGCUGAUCGCGGGCGCUGCGCCGCCUGUGGCCGUGCUGGAAGGCGCAGAGAGCAUCGGUAUCAAGCUUACUCACGUUUACGGCCUCACAGAGGUCUAUGGCCCCGCCUCCGUUUGCGCCGAACAGCCCGGCUGGGAUGAUCUGCCGGCAGACCAGCGCGCCCAGCUGAAGCGCCGUCAGGGCGNNNNNNNNNCAGGAAGCCGUCACGGUACUUGAUCCGGACACGAUGCAGCCCGUACCACGUGAUGGCGAAACCAUCGGCGAGGU
rnacentral:misc_RNA from 1 species